UCCCUCGAGCCGGAUUUGAACAAGCAACCUAAGAAACACCGUUGAUACAUCUACAGUUCUUCAUUCUUCCAAUUGAGCUAUUGAGGG